GACGGAGGGUGCAAGCGUUGCUCGGAAUCACUGGGCGUAAAGGGUGCGUAGGCGGUCUCGCAAGUCUGGCGUGAAAGCCCAAGGCUCAGCCUUGGAAGUGCGCUCGAAACUGCGAGGCUGGAGUGCCGGAGGGGAGAGUGGAAUUCCCGGUGUAGCGGUGAAAUGCGUAGAGAUCGGGAGGAAUACCGGUGGCGAAAGCGGGUCACUGG
rnacentral:rRNA from 1 species